CACUUUGGGAGGCAGAGAUGGGUGGAUCACAAGGUCAGGAGAUCGAGACCAUCCUGGCUAACACGGUGAAACCCCGUCUCUACUAAAAAUACAAAAAAUUAGCUGGGUGUGGUGGCGGGUGCCUGUAGUCCCAGCUACUUGGGAGGCUGAGGCAGGAGAAUGGCGUGAACCCGGGAGGCGGAGCUUGCAGUGAGCCGAGAUCGCGCCACUGCACUCCAGCCUGGGCAACAGAGUGAGACUC
rnacentral:lncRNA from 1 species